rnacentral:rRNA from 1 species
AUUGAACGCUGGCGGCAUGCCUUACACAUGCAAGUCGAACGGCAGCGGACCUUCGGGUGCCGGCGAGUGGCGAACGGGUGAGUAAUAUAUCGGAACGUACCUUUCAGUGGGGGAUAACGUAGCGAAAGUUACGCUAAUACCGCAUAUUCUGUGAGCAGGAAAGCAGGGGAUCGCAAGACCUUGCGCUGAUUGAGCGGCCGAUAUCAGAUUAGCUAGUUGGUGGGGUAAAGGCCUACCAAGGCGACGAUCUGUAGCGGGUCUGAGAGGAUGAUCCGCCACACUGGGACUGAGACACGGCCCAGACUCCUACGGGAGGCAGCAGUGGGGAAUAUUGGACAAUGGGGGAAACCCUGAUCCAGCAAUGCCGCGUGAAUGAAGAAGGCCUUAGGGUUGUAAAGUUCUUUUGUCCGUGACGAUAAUGACGGUAGCGGACGAAUAAGCCCUGGCUAACUCUGUGCCAGCAGACGCGGUAAAGUAGUCGUGU